rnacentral:rRNA from 1 species
AUGAACUUGGGACAACAUGCCGAUGACAUGCCGGGUAAUAAUGGUAGUGGCAAGCAGGCUGUUUGGACAACUGCCAUGUCGUCCUUUGUGCUUAAGUUCAUGGCUAACCUAGUGACUAGUGGAACUAGAGCCUCCAACAGUUUCAGGCAAGUUCACCAUAAAAGCUGUGCAAAGGCUUUGAACGAGCGUUUCAAGCUUCAAGUAACUGCUGCUCAGAUUUCUAACCACCUUCGGAAGUGGAAAAGAAUAUGGGGAAGGGUUAACAAGCUCAAGAACUUAAGUGGUGCUCUUUGGGAUGAGCAUACAUGCACCAUUGUGCUUGAUCAGGAGCAUUAUGCCAGUCACGUUAAGGUAGGAUUGCACCGUAUGUUGUUUCCACAUGGUGGUGUCAUUGUUGCUUCUGUUUUGUCUAAUAUUUUGUGUAUUACUUGGCAGGACCACCAUAGUGAUGCAGACAUGUUGAACACUCCGAUUGAGCACUAUCAUCAGAUGGCUACAAUCUGUGGCAACGGUAUGGUUUCAGGUGUAUAUGCUAGCAGGAGUAGCAAUGAGCUUCUUUCCACAGACGUGGCUGAUGAUGAAUUUGAAAAUGAAGAUACCAAUGGGGAGAGUGACCCUCUUACUACAAAUGUGACUGAGAAUGAAAUGGAAAACAGAAAAACUAGUGAAGCGAGUAACCCUCUUGCUAUAGUUGUGAUCGAGAAUGGCAAAACCUGUGAAGAGGCCACAAAAUCUUUUACUAACACUGAUGGAGGAAACUUUGGUGAUCCCUCUGGCAGCUUACCACCACCAAAGAAGGCCAAGAUGUCUCACUUGGAUUUAUCACAACAAUGCGAUGCUCCAGCUAUGCAGCCAGACGUGGGUAUAUCACAUGGAAUGAACUUGGAACAGCAUGCGGAUAACAUUGGGGGUACUAAUGGUGGUGGUGGGCAACUUGUUUGGACAAAUGCCAUGUCAACCUUUGUGCUUCAGUUCUUGACUAACCUAGUGGCCAGUGGAACUAGACCCUCUCAUGUUUUCAAGCAAGUUCAUCUUAAAAGUUGUGCUCAAGCUUUGAGUGAGCAUUUCAGGGUUCAAGUGAAUGCUGCACAGAUUUCUAACCAUCUUAGGAAAUGGAAGAAAAUGUGGAAAAAGGUUAACAUACUCAAGAGUUUAAGUGGCGCUCUUUGGGAUGCGAACACUUACACCAUUGUGCUUGAUCAUGAGCAUUACACAGCUCACGUUAAGGACCACCAUCAUGAUGCCGACUUCUUGAACACUCCAAUUAAGAACUAUCGUGAGAUGGCGUCAAUCUUUGUCAAAGGCAUGGCUUCAUCCAGGCCAGCUAGGAGUAGCAAUGAGUCUCUUGCUAGAGACGUGCUUGAGAAUGGAAUCGAAAACGAAAACGUGAAUGGAGGGACUGACCUUAUUGCUAAAGGAGUUGAAGGGGCCGCAAUGUCUUUUACUAACACUGAUGAAGGAGACAGCGGUGAUUCCUCUGGCAGUUUGCCACCCCCACCCCGACCAAAGAAGGCCAAGGUAAAAAAUGAUGACAGCCUGCUAUGCACGAUGACCCGUGUUCUCGAUCGCCUAGCAGAAGCCAUAGAGAAGUGCAGUAGGAGAGACACUGAUGUCCCCGACGACCUUUGGGCGAACAUGAAGGGCCUCCCGGGGUUUGAACAGGAGCAUCUUGCCCACUACUAUGCUUAUUUGUGCGAGAAUGCUCACGUUGCCAGGGCAUUCGACAAGCUUAGCGUGCCUCACAAAACGAUCUGGGUUAAUAGGUACAUCAAGAACCACCUCUCGGCCUAG